GUCCUGCCACUCUUGGUGUGAAGAACGCUACAGUCCAUUAUUCUGGGCAGGUCUUCAUUGAUCCUGUGCCAGUACUGAGCCAAGAAAAGUAUGAAUAUCUGGUUACUGCUU
rnacentral:lncRNA from 1 species